CCGUGGAAGUUCAUUGUGAAGGAGUUUUAAAGCAGCUGUCCUCUAUGACGGAGGCUCUUCGGGAAAGAGACGAGGCUAUAAGUCAAAGAAAUGAGGUCCAGCGCCAAUAUGAAGCCUUAAAGGCUGAUUCUGAAGGACUUCAGGUUCACCUGAAUGAGGUGAAUGUUCAGAAAGAGAAAGCCCUAGCUCGGGUGGAAGUCCUUGAGCAGGAGCUAAGCAC
rnacentral:lncRNA from 1 species